rnacentral:other from 1 species
AUUCUGGAGUGUGCGAUAUCUCCUGUUAUUUUGAACCUACAUUUUUUUAAAUGGGACAUCAACAUUUUUUGAUGGAUAUCAUGCCCUCUUUUGGGAAGAUAGAAGUCAAAGUGAGAUGACCCACCUAGCAUUGCUAGGAGUCAAAAUACAGGAAACGGCACUUCGGAUU